rnacentral:rRNA from 1 species
CAGUAGCCGCGGUAAUACAGAGGGUGCAAGCGUUAAUCGGAAUUACUGGGCGUAAAGCGCGCGUAGGUGGUUUGUUAAGUUGGAUGUGAAAGCCCCGGGCUCAACCUGGGAACUGCAUCCAAAACUGGCAAGCUAGAGUACGGUAGAGGGUGGUUGAAUUUCCUGUGUAGCGGUGAAAUGCGUAGAUAUAGGAAGGAACACCAGUGGCGAAGGCGACCACCUGGACUGAUACUGACACUGAGGUGCGAAAGCGUGGGGAGCAAACAGGAUUAGAUACCCCUGUAGUCCCUGUCUCUUAUAC